UACGUAGGGGGCUAGCGUUGUCCGGAAUCAUUGGGCGUAAAGCGCGUGUAGGCGGUCCGGUAAGUCCGCUGUGAAAGUCGGGGGCUCAACCCUCGAAUGCCGGUGGAUACUGUCGGGCUAGAGUGCGGAAGAGGCGAGUGGAAUUCCUGGUGUAGCGGUGAAAUGCGCAGAUAUCAGGAGGAACACCGAUAGCGAAGGCAGCUCGCUGGGACGGUACUGACGCUAAGGCGCGAAAGCGUGGGGAGCAAACAGG
rnacentral:rRNA from 1 species